rnacentral:rRNA from 1 species
UACAGAGGUCCCGAGCGUUGUUCGGAUUCACUGGGCGUAAAGGGUGCGUAGGUGGUGGGGUAAGUCUCGUGUGAAAGCUCGCAGCUUAACUGCGAAAAGUCACGGGAUACUAUCCGGCUAGAGGCUUGGAGGGGGGACUGGAAUACUUGGUGUAGCAGUGAAAUGCGUAGAUAUCAAGUGGAACACCAGUGGCGAAGGCGAGUCCCUGGACAAGACCUGACACUGAGGCACGAAAGCCAGGGGAGCAAACGGG